rnacentral:rRNA from 1 species
GACGAACGCUGGCGGCGUGCUUAACACAUGCAAGUCACGGGGGCCCGCAAGGGCAACCGGCGAACGGGUGCGUAACACGUGAACAACCUGCCCUCGUGUGGGGGAUAGCCAUGCUAACGCGUGGGUAAUACCGCAUACGUUCCCCUGGAGGAGUCUCUGGGGGAGGAAAGCUCCGGCGCACGGGGAGGGGUUCGCGGCCUAUCAGCUAGUUGGCGGGGUAAUGGCCCACCAAGGCGACGACGGGUAGCUGGCUGAGAGGAUGGCCAGCCACAUUGGGACUGAGAGACGGCCCAGACUCCUACGGGAGGCAGCAGUGGGGAAUCUUGCGCAAUGGCCGAAAGGCUGACGCAGCGACGCCGCGUGUGGGAUGAAGCAUUUCGGUGUGUAAACCACUGUUGCCCGGGACGAACAGCCUUUUUCGAGAGGUCUGACGGUACCGGGUGAGGAAGCACCGGCUAACUCCGUGCCAGCCGCCGCCGUAAC